GGCGAACGGGUGAGUAAUAUAUCGGAACGUGCCCAGUAAUGGGGAACAACUAAUUGAAAGAUUAGCUAAUACCGCAUACGACCUACGGGUGAAAGCAGGGGAUCUUCGGACCUUGCGUUAUUGGAGCGGCCGAUAUCUGAUUAGCUUGUUGGUAGGGUAAAAGCCUACCAAGGCGACGAUCAGUAGCUGGUCUGAGAGGACGAUCAGCCACACUGGAACUGAGACACGGUCCAGACUCC
rnacentral:rRNA from 1 species